UACCGGAGACGCCGAGCAGCCAGAGGGAGGAAGCUAAAGGGUCAAACCGUGCAUCAAAAAGGGUUUUGAGCCCUACUGGAUUGUGGUUUGAUGAUAACAAAGUUAGCGGGUCCAUCACUGACAUUUUCCAGGGUCAUUUUCGAGAACCUUGGUUAAACUACGGUGAGGUGGACGAUGCAACAAAGACGCAUUGGUGGAACUCAUUCACGGGUCUUUACGAAUGGGCUCCUGAGUUAGAUGACCAAGUGAGAAAAGCAUAC